CGAAAGCCUGACGGAGCAACGCCGCGUGUGGGAAGAAGGCCUUUGGGCUGUCAACCACUUUUCUCAGGGAAGAAGCUUUGACGGUACCUGAGGAAUCAGCCUCGGCUAACUCCGUGCCAGCAGCCGCGGUAAUACGGAGGAGGCAAGCGUUAUCCGGAAUCAUUGGGCGUAAAGCGUUCGUAGGCGGCUGUUCAAGUCUGCUGUCAAAGACCGAGGCUCAACCUCGGGUCGGCAGUGGAAACUGGAUAGCUAGAGGUCGGUAGGGGCAAAGGGAAUUCCCAGUGUAGCGGUGAAAUGCGUAGGUAUUGGGAAGAACACCGGUGGCGAAAGCGCUUUGCUGGACCGAACCUGACGCUGAGGGACGAAAGCUAAGGUAGCG
rnacentral:rRNA from 1 species